GAUAAACGCUAGCGGCAGGCUUAACACAUGCAAGUCGAGGGGCAGCAUAGAUUGUAGCAAUACAAUUGGUGGCGACCGGCGCACGGGUGCGUAACGCGUAUGCAACCUACCCGUCACAGGGGGAUAAUCCGGAGAAAUCUGGUCUAAUACCCCAUAACAUAUGGAUCGGCAUCGGUUCAUGUUGAAAUUUUCGGAGGUGACGGAUGGGCAUGCGUAGCAUUAGCUUGUUGGUGAGGUAACGGCUCACCAAGGCGACGAUGCUUAGGGGGACUGAGAGGUUUUCCCCCACACUGGAACUGAGACACGGACCGGACUCCUACGGGAGGCAGCAGUGAGGAAUAUUGGUCAAUGGGCGCAAGCCUGAACCAGCCAUGCCGCGUGCAGGAUGACGGCUCUAUGAGUUGUAAACUGCUUUUGUACGAGGGUAAAGUGGGUUACGUGUAACCUUUUGAAAGUAUCGUACGAAUAAGGAUCGGCUAACUCCGUGCCAGCCGCCGCGGUAA
rnacentral:rRNA from 1 species